rnacentral:lncRNA from 1 species
AUUAUUUUAAUUUUAAAGUAGUUAAAUUUUAAAAAUGUUAAAUUAAAAAAUAUUAAAUUUAAAGAAACAAUAAGUAAAAUUUAUAAAAUAAUUAUUUUGACAAAAAUAUAAUAUGAUGUUUGCGUUGGUAUAAAAACACUCACAACAACUUGUCUAUCUAUUUUAAUUAUUUUAUACAUGAAAAGUUCAUGAAUUGACCCUAAUUCAUAGAAUUUUGGGUGUAUUUAAUAAGAGAAUUUUGUUGUUUUAUGGUUUUUUUUUUUUUGUUUCAAUGCAUGUGGGUUAAGAUCAAAUCUUAUUAUAUGGACCUAUCUGGUCUAUUAAUGGUGAUAUGAGAAUGGUGGGUUAGUAGCUGUGUAAUGGUUAUGGCCCAAAGAGACGUUCAAAAGUAGCUCACAUGCAAUUCUAAUUUAUCAUAGUGCGAGGAAGAAAACAAAGAUAUAUUCUGUUCAUCAUUUAUCUAUGGUUCAAGGCAUAUCUUUCACAACCUACCUGAACUCCUUUAGCUCCUCUUAUUAGAUUAUGCUCUUAUACCUUGUGUGAAUGAGUGAGUUGACUGUGCGGUAAGUGUUUUCUAGGUUUUUUUUUUCUUGCAGAAUUGGUGUGAAUAUUAUCAUAAUGGUGAGUUAUGGACGAAUGUUGGGUUUGGAUAUCGGAAAGCAACGGAGAAGAGCCCCCAAGGAUGAUGUAUUCCCUUUUUUAUUUUUGUCUGUAGUUAUCCCCUCUUGUUGCUACCUCUUUUGCCUUAAGCGUCCUUGCUCUUCUCACUUUUUUUUGUCCUUGUCUCCUCCUAACUCGAGCCAUAUAAAGGGGAAGUUGUAAGCAACCAAUUGUUGCAUCAUCCUGCCAUUCAACUAUCCUUUGCAAGUAAGUGGACACACAACAUGUUUUUUCUUCUCUCAUAUAUACAAAGUGAUGACAGCCAAAACUACUAAUGCAUGGUUGAUACGUUUUAGUUAACCAAAUGAGGAAAAACAUGGGUCUAAGAGAUGAGAAAUCUUGAAUCAU